rnacentral:rRNA from 1 species
UACGUAGGGUGCGAGCGUUUGUCCGGAUUUAUUGGGCGUAAAGGGCUCGUAGGCGGCGUGUCGCGUCGGGGAGUGAAAGCCCGUUGCUUAACGGCGGGUUGGCUUUCGGUACGGGCAGUGCUGGAGUGCGGCAGGGGAGACUGGAAUUCCUGGUGUAGCGGUGAAAUGCGCAGAUAUCAGGAGGAACACCGGUGGCGAAGGCGGGUCUCUGGGCCGUAACUGACGCUGAGGAGCGAAAGCGUGGGGAGCGAACAGG